rnacentral:lncRNA from 1 species
AUUUCUAGUUCACAAGGUUUUUAAAAACAUAAUGUCACUAUCUCUUGAGUUUUGACGCCUAUCAGUACACUGUAAGAGUUUCCAUUGUUUAUAUCCUUGGGAACAGUGGGCAUUUAAAAAAAUAUUUCCCGGUUUUAUAAAGGAAAAUAUAGUCAUUUUAUUGGAGCACUUUUUUUGUAGUUAUUAAACCUAGCGUCAAUUCACUUGGUUUUCCAAUUUCUAAAACAAGAAGCGACAAUAAAAAUUUAUACUCAAGUGAUGAUCAUUACAUUAUCUGAGAAGGGGGGAAAACUGUGAGAUCCACCUUCAACUUUGUGUUAAUAUUUUCAGCAUCCAUCUUUUACCCUAAUUCUUCUCCCUUACCCUUUUUUUUUUUGGACAUCACUAGAACACACAAGGGUCACUACUCUCAGAUUCUGAACGAAUCCUGUAAAUCUAUCCACAGGGAUAAAUGCUUAUUGAGUGAUAAGCCUUUAUUUAAAAGUUAUCAUUUUUAGUACUGUUUAUGUUUGUUAUUAGUAUUGUUUGCAUUCUAAAAGGCCAGUAGAAAGGUUAAACAAAUGACACUUAUAGAGAGCAAUUAAGUGUCAGGAAAACAUUUACUCCCUAAAGUCUUAGGAUCAGACAGUGUAUGUAGCUGUCAAUUCCAAUUACAUGUUGGACUGGUCCUUUUCUUUUGAUUUUGUUUACAGAGGACUUUUGGGAUCUUGUGGCAAUCAGAGUCUGAACAGACGGGGGACAUAUGGCAGAUCAAGGAGGAGAAAACACCAACAGCCAAGGAUUUGAGAAAAGCCCUCAGGCAUUUAGAGAUCUGCCUCUCUGGAUUUGUCAUUGUGCUGAAGCUUCCCUCUCACCAUGCAUCACUUCACCUCUCUCUUCCAUCCCCCUCCUCUACGCGCUCUCUGCCCUCCAGCAGCAUCAGAUGGUACACCAGAACAAUGUGAAAUUGAAGAUGAAUUAUGUAAGGAGUAUUUGCCACAGGCUGCUCUAA